rnacentral:rRNA from 1 species
UGAAUACGAGAUGCUACGGCGUCGAAGCAGUCUAUGUCAUACUUCCAAGAAAAGCUCGCACUGUCAUAAACAAAUAAUGCCUGUACCAUAACCGACACAGGUGGGUAGGUAGAGUAUACUAAGGGGCGCGAGAUAACUCUCUCUAAGGAACUCGGCAAAAUGACUCCGUAACUUCGGGAGAAGGAGUGCCUUAUUUAUAAGGUUGCAAUAACAAGAUCCAAGCAACUGUUUAUCAAAAACACAGGUCUCCGCUAAGUCGUAAGACGAUGUAUGGGGGCUGACGCCUGCCCAGUGCCAGAAGGUUAAAGAAGUUGGUUAGCAUUCGCGAAGCUGAUAACUGAAGCCCUGGUGAACGGCGGCCGUAACGAUAACGGUCCUAAGGUAGCGAAAUUCCUUGUCGGGUAAGUUCCGACCCGCACGAAAGGCGUAAUGAUUUGGAUACUGUCUCGGAGAGGGGCUCGGUGAAAUAGACUUGUCUGUGAAGAUGCGGACUACCUGCACCAGGACAGAAAGACCCUAUGAAGCUUUACUGUAACUUGAGAUUGAAAUUGACUUUACUUGCGCAGUAUAGGUGGGAGGCGUUGAUAAUAUUCUUGCGGGAUUAUUUGAGCCAUCAGUGAGAUACCACUCUUGUAAUGUUAGAUUUCUAACUUUGUAUCAUUAUCUGGUCAAAGGACAGUUUCAGGCGGGCAGUUUGACUGGGGCGGUCGCCUCCUAAACGGUAACGGAGGCGCACAAAGGUUUCCUCUGAACGGGUAGAAAUCGUAUCUAGAGUGUAAAGGCAUAAGGAAGCUUGACUGUGAGACCUACAAGUCGAGCAGGGACGAAAGUCGGUCUUAGUGAUCUGACGGUGCUGAGUGGAAAGGCCGUCACUCAACGGAUAAAAGUUACUCUAGGAUAACAGGCUGAUCUCCCCCAAGAGUUCACAUCGACGGGGAGGUUUGGCACCUCGAUGUCGGCUCAUCGCAUCCUGGGGCGGUAGUACGUCCCAAGGGUUGGGCUGUUCGCCCAUGAAAGCGGUACGCGAGCUGGGUUCAGAACGUCGUGAGACAGUUCGGUCCAUAUCCGGUGUAGGCGUUAGAAUAUUGAGAGGAGCCUUCUUUAGUACGAGAGGACCGAGAAGGACAUACCUCUGGUGUACCAGUUAUCGUGCCAACGGUAAACGCUGGGUAGCUAUGUAUGGAGUGGAUAACCGCUGAAAGCAUCUAAGUGGGAAGCCCACCUCAAGAUAAG